CGAUACGAUUCUGCACACUGUGUGGUGUGCGCUUAUUAGGAGAGUCUGGGGUUUCAGCGGCACCGGGCGUGAACCCCUCUGCCCCAGCCGCGGCCAAGGGUCAUGUCCAGGGUAAUACGCUUCUGUUUGGGUCACCUACCUCUUCCAGUCCAAACAUCGUGGCCAAAGCAAUCACAUGUGAGAACUGAGUAACUGACGGCCCUAACGAAAACCCCAGGGAGAAAGGGAUGUUGAAGGAUGAGAACAAGUGCUUACCAGAGUGUGUGUUCUAAAACCACAGCCUUGUGUUAGCAGAAUGACUCACGUGGCUAUAAUCAUCUGGCAGCUUCUCUGGGGCUGGAAGAUCCAAGAGGGCCUCACUCACACGCCUGGAGAUCAGCUGGGACUGCCAGCUAGAAUGUCUCUGUUCUCAUCCAUGCAGCCUCCCUGACAAGAUGGCCUGCACUGUUUACCCAGAGCUGAUCAAAGUAGGCAAGCCUCAGUGCAAAAGCACGUAUCAGGUCUCGGGCUUGACUUUUACUGAUGUCUCACUGACCAAAGUGUGUCACAUGGCCACACCCAAAAUCAAUGUGGGAAGGCAUCACAUAGGGAAAGUCUCUUGAAGUUCUGUCCUUGUUCCAGGUACACCCAGGGAGCACAAGGCAAGAGAAUUUUGCCCAGACGGAGACUGUGUACAGGAGACAUAUUUAGUAAGCAGUGCUGCUGUGGCCAGUGUCAAAUAGAGGUAUGAAGUCCUGAAUCAUUAAAUUCUAUGCCUGAAACUAAUAUUACACCAUAUGUUAACUGGAAUUUAAAUAAAAACAAGAAA